CACGUAGGGGACGAGCGUUGUCCGGAUUCAUUGGGCGUAAAGCGCGCGUAGGCGGCUCGGAAAGUCGGGCGAUGAAAUGCCGGGGGCUCAACCCCGGGACUGCGUCCGAUACUUCCGAGCUGGAGGUAGGUAGGGGAGAUCGGAAUUCCUGGUGGUAGCGGUGAAAUGCGCAGAGUAUCAAGGAGGAACACCGGUGGCGAAGGCGG
rnacentral:rRNA from 1 species